GACGAACGCUGGCGGCGUGCUUAACACAUGCAAGUCGAACGGAAAGGCCCUGCUUUUGUGGGGUGCUCGAGUGGCGAACGGGUGAGUAACACGUGAGUAACCUGCCCUUGACUUUGGGAUAACUUCAGGAAACUGGGGCUAAUACCGGAUAGGAGCUCCUGCUGCAUGGUGGGGGUUGGAAAGUUUCGGCGGUUGGGGAUGGACUCGCGGCUUAUCAGCUUGUUGGUUGGGUAGUGGCUUACCAAGGCUUUGACGGGUAGCCGGCCUGAGAGGGUGACCGGCCACAUUGGGACUGAGAUACGGCCCAGACUCCUACGGGAGGCAGCAGUGGGGUAUAGUGUACAAUGGGCGGAAGCCUGAUGCAGCAACGCCGCGUGCGGGAUGACGGCCUGCGGGUUGUAAACCGCUGUCGCCUGUGACGAAGCGUGAGUGACGGUAAUGGGUAAAGAAGCACCGGCUAACUACGUG
rnacentral:rRNA from 1 species